rnacentral:rRNA from 1 species
GUCGAGCGGACAGAUGGGGAGCUUGCUCCCUGAUGUUAGCGGCGGACGGGUGAGUAACACGUGGGUAACCUGCCUGUAAGACUGGGAUAACUCCGGGAAACCGGGGCUAAUACCGGAUGCUUGUUUGAACCGCAUGGUUCAAACAUAAAAGGUGGCUUCGGCUACCACUUACAGAUGGACCCGCGGCGCAGUAGCUAGUUGGUGAGGUAAUGGCUCACCAAGGCAACGAUGCGUAGCCGACCUGAGAGGGUGAUCGGCCACACUGGGACUGAGACACGGCCCAGACUCCUACGGGAGGCAGCAGUAGGGAAUCUUCCGCAAUGGACGAAAGUCUGACGGAGCAACGCCGCGUGAGUGAUGAAGGUUUUCAGAUCGUAAAGCUCUUUUGUUAGGGAAGAACAAGUGCCGUUCAAAUAGGGCGGCACCUUGAC